rnacentral:rRNA from 1 species
GAUGAACGCUGGCGGCGUGCCUAAUACAUGCAAGUCGAGCGAACGGACGAGAAGCUUGCUUCUCUGAUGUUAGCGGCGGACGGGUGAGUAACACGUGGAUAACCUACCUAUAAGACUGGGAUAACUUCGGGAAACCGGAGCUAAUACCGGAUAAUAUUUUGAACCGCAUGGUUCAAAAGUGAAAGACGGUCUUGCUGUCACUUAUAGAUGGAUCCGCGCUGCAUUAGCUAGUUGGUAAGGUAACGGCUUACCAAGGCAACGAUGCAUAGCCGACCUGAGAGGGUGAUCGGCCACACGGGAACUGAGACACGGUCCAGACUCCUACGGGAGGCAGCAGUAGGGAAUCUUCCGCAAUGGGCGAAAGCCUGACGGAGCAACGCCGCGUGAGUGAUGAAGGUCUUCGGAUCGUAAAACUCUGUUAUUAGGGAAGAACAUAUGUGUAAGUAACUGUGCACAUCUUGACGUUACCUAAUCAGAAAGCCACGGCUAACUACGUG